CUCUGAGAUGGAAGUGACGCAAAUGCAGCUGCCUUGGAACAGAGUUCAGUGUGGUGAUGUGAAGAUCUGGUGAUACUGUCAAAUCAUGCUCGGGGUGAUGCAUUCUAAAGUGCCGUGAAUGUACUUUCUUUCAUCUGCCAACAUCUCUCUUGUAAAAUGGCAAACCAGAAAUGUAAUCCAGCAGAUGUGCUGCUUGUAGCACCAAAUGAUGGUGAUGGUCUAAUGACUUGGCAUAAAAACUGUUGGGGAAAAAGACAGCAUAAUUCCAAAAGAGGGAGAGCCAGCUUAAUUACAAACCUGAGAGCUACUUCACUGCUCUAGAAUGCUCUUGCAAGUAAAGGAUACCCUGAGGAGUCCAGGAUCCCCUGCUACCAUCUGCAUGGCCUUGGUUUCUGCUUCAGGUCCCUUCACUUUCUCAAAUGGCUGCAAUGGAAAUGCCUCACCUUGAGUAGCAGGUCCAGUUUUGGGCACAACAGACACAGGAAAAACAGAGAAUGACAAAAAACCCCUGGAGGUCUAGAAAACAUCCCAUAUGAAGAAAUGUUGGAAGAACUGGGAUAAUUUUGCCUGGAGAAGAGAAGACCAAGCGGUAUAAAUUGGUAGCAGUCAUCAAAUACAAAAAGGAUUGCUAUAACAAGCAUGGGGAUGGACUAUUCUCUCUGCCCACAGAGGACAAGAACAGUUCAUAGUUACAGCUAGGGAAAUUUUGGUCGUAUAGUGGGAAGAAAUUCUGUCUUCUCAGUACCCUGCUUUAGAGCCACUGAAGUCAAUAGGAUUGUGCUAGUGUAUCUAUGAAUGCCAAACUUGCCCCAAAAGCUGAGAACCAUGAUCCUGGAAAGGGAAAAAAGUACUUUGUGAGAAGUUCAGUUCCCAGCAUCAAAACAUAUUAUCUACAGUAGGCAAGUGUCAAUCCUUUUGGAUCAUAGUGUAUGCAUGAGAGGUCACCAGGACCUUUGACACACAUGCCUAGGCAGGAGUAUGGAGGAGGCUGCCCAGACCUUCUAUCCCACUUUUAGGCAACUGAGAUAGAAUCCAAAGGCCAGACCGAGUCCAGACUUUCAGUGCCUCAAUGGCUAUAGUUAUAUGCAUGUCCAGGAAUCAAACCCAGGUCUCCUGUGUGGCAGACAAGAAUUCUACCACUUGAAGUUUUUUCAGAGCAGGUUGGACACAAACUUGACUGGGCUGGUUUAGACAGGGAUGGUGCUGCCUUAAGCAGGGUGCUGGACAAAAUGACUUCUUGAGGUCUCUUCCAAGCCCUGUUUUUUUAGGAUUACGUAAUAUGAGCCUCUGUAUAAUGCAAUAACUGGUUCCAGCUGACUCUUGCAAGAGUUGGGGCUCCUCUUAAAGGUAAGGCUUCUCAAAAAAGCAAAGUAUGAUCACAUUUGCACCAGUAAGCUACACAGAUGCAGCUUACUCAGUGCAUGCUUCUAACAUAUACAGCAUAUCAGCACCAUGCUAGAGAUCUGCAUAUGUGCAGCUGUAGUAGGGCAAAAUCCCACUGUACAGUGACAGACAGAGAGACCUGCUCCGACAUAGGUAGUUUUGCAGCACUAUUUAGUGUUGUUUGUAUUACUGGAGUGCCUAGGAUCCUUAAUCGUGGAUUAGGACCCCACAGUUCUAGAUACUGUUACACACACACAUAACAAACAGCAAUAGAGAGCACGGUGAGAGGCUGAUCCAAAUGAGCAGGUGGUGUUAAAUGAGGCAAAAAGCUGAGAGUUGAAGAAUAGAACAAAGGGGAGAAGUCGGGCAAGUCCACGCUGAAGGAGAAAUGUGAUGAAGGAAGAAUAGAGGCACACAGGGCAUUGAGGGAGAGAGCUAUGAGCCUGAGCCACACAAAAGAGAAAAAACACCAAUAGGAUUUGGGGCAGGAAGGUGGCAACGUCAUCUCAGGUAAGAAUUUUACUUGACUUUGUCAGUUUAAAUCAAUGCAGAAUUAACAUAAUUGUGCAGGUUACAUUUUAAUGCCAACGAAGUGCUCUGGAACCUGCUGAAGCUUUAAAGCUGCUCCCAGACACAUGUCCUUGUAGCUUGCAGGCAGCCCACCAUGACUCUCUUCAGUGCCCAUCAACUUGGCUUUACUCAGCCAAAGAGGUGGGGGGUGGAUGGCGAGCAAUGAGACAUUCCCUCUUCUGCUUCCAGGGCCUGUGCUAUGUGCUGGUAAAUAUGGAAUUUCCAGCUCCUGUCACACUGGGUAUCAAUUAGAAAUGGGUCAAAGCCCUACAGUUUGGCUUCAAUGUCAAACUUUCUCAUAGACUUUGGAUCUGGGUGUCUUCAUUUGAUCCAUUUCUAAUGUUAUUUUUUUCUUCUCCAUCCAAAGUUAUAUUUGUUAGGAUGAAACACAAAGUGCUAGGGAAAGAAGUGGCCAUUGUGAUGUGGUAUAUGUUGGGUUUUCUUAUAGAUUUGAUUGGAAGAAAACCAAACCAACUCAAGAAAGAAAAACAAUUCUGCAGCUCAGACAGCCCAAGUAACAGUUCUUGAAUGGGAAUAAGUCAUCUGGUGGAAAACUGCUUAUUUCAGUAUUGGGAACUCUUUCAAAUUAUUGCACUUUUCUUUUGGCUCCAAGCAGUCAUUAAAAAUAUAUCGUGCAACAAAUAGCAUGGAGGGACUGGGCACAUCCAGAAAUCUCCAGCCUGGUCCCAGUAUAUUUGAUUGUUGUACCUGUAGAAUCAAACCAACGUCCAUCUAGCACAAAGCCACACUGUAGAACAAACUAUGGAGGCUGUAUCACAUUUUACUGAGGAUCCCACAUUCUUGCUGUUAAUACUAUUUCUUUGUAAUGUAGGGGGCUGGUCACUGUACAUUUUAUUAUUGAAUACUUCUUUCCUUCCCCUUUCUAGUAUCGUGGUUCUCAGCCUUUCCAGGAAACUGUGAUGAUGAUAACCUCGUCAUUUAUAUGGCACUUCACAAGCUAACUACACCAGCACAAUCCUCUUGACCUCCCCUGCACUGAAGAGAAGGAACUGAGACUGACAGUUGGCUCACAUAUCUUUACCACAUUGUAAAAACAUUAACUAGUGAAGCCCCAGAACAGAGAGCAGCCCUAUGCAGUAGAAAUGAGAAACAUUUUUCCUACUGAACGGAUGGGGAGAGUCUAAACUUUUCAAAUCUUCAUGCCUAGUUAGGGAUUGAACCUCAGAUUUUGGGCACCUGGAAAAAUAACCUGUAAUUCUCACUGACUAAGUGCUGAUUUGGGUAUCUACCUUGAAGGGCCCAUGCUCAAAAGCUUGAGGUCAGUGAAGGGUCAGUGACAGUGACUAAUGCAGGUAGGUCCCUGUAGUGCUUAGUCCCAUGCACAAUCCAUUAAUGCAUGCUGCCUCUGCUCCAUCAACUGGCCAGAUCCUUGUAAAGCUUAUGUAACCCGGGUGGUAUGUGGCCAGUACCCGCUCUCCAAUUGAAGGGAUGUCAGGGGGUGAGUAUGCUCCAGGAGAGUGACUGCCUAGCUGCAAGCUAGCUCACCUCCUUUCCCUGCAGAGCGGAGUCCAAGGACUCCCAGUGAUACUUGACCAUUUGAAGGUUUAAUUGUACAAAAUUACACACAUCCCUAUAUAUAUAUAGACACAAAUACGUAUAUGUGUAUGCGUAUAUAUACAUAAUUAUUUACAAAAUAUAGGUUCAUAAAAACAAUAGCUCUUAUUAAUCCUGAACUUAGUAGGCACUGGCCUUGAUCUCCUGUGGCCUUCCAGUCAGUGUGCUGCAGCCCCUCAACAGCUCUCCAGGCAGUAGGCAGGGAACACUCCAUCAUAAAACACGGGUUAGGCAAUAAAUCAACAAAUGAAAAUCUGGCAGUGAUAAGACAAUAACUGAACAUACAGAGUGAAAUUACAUCAAAUGAGAUGCAGAUACGUAAAAAUAACCAAUGCAAUGAAUUUAGAGAGAGAGUUGAGGCUGUGCUA